CGCAACUUGAAUGCGCCUAGAGAGGAAUAUUUAUCACGCAUGGAACACAACAACAAGCUGACUAGAACGGACAUGUCAUCUCCAAACCAGGGUCCUUUUGGUUCCAGACUUGGUGCAUCGGUACCGCUUGCCUUGCGGUAGCAGAGAGAACAUAUGACUUAGGUGGCUGGAGUCUUUGAAAAUUCUUAGGGCCUUCCUCUGACACCGCCUGGUAUAGAGGUCCUGGAUGGCAGGGAGCUCGGCCCCAGUGAUGUGCUUGGCCAUACGCCCUACCCUCUGGUAGAAAUGAGGUCUGUCUGAAGAAGGAGGAACAUGGACAGAGACAGGUAGAACUGAACGCUUCGACUCGCCAAGCCCAGAGCUGUGAUGUCGGGCCUCUAACAACUCACUGGAACUCUCCUUCCUAAUGUUCAGCUAAUUUGGCUCUUCCGCUGUGUCCUCGGAUCAGAAGAAGGGGAAGUCCUAAAAGGGGAACCUUUUAUCUUGGUGACACCGCUUUUCACCUCCACUGGUGACUUACUGGGGGCCGGUGCUCCUGUUGCACCCUGGGAUACCAAACGAUGGAGGAUGCCUCUAGCCCACGUACCCUGGCAACCGUUCUUGAAGCCUACAGCUCCACUCUCCAAACCUCCACCCCCUAACCCCUCCACUCCAUCCCUUCACCCAGCGUCCCCAGUCCAGGGCUCUGGCCACACAUAAACCCCAGACAGGCCUCUGAUGGAUGGGGCUGGAGAGAGAAGAAAAGCCCUUGAUGUUAGAAAUAAAUCUGACAGGCCCUACUGGAAAGGGCUAGGCCUAAUCUUUCCCAGACUAAGGUUUUUUCCUUUUCUUAUUUUUUAUAUCCUUCUCUCUCUUUAUUUCCACCCCCACUCUCUUCUCUUCGUCCAUGUCUACAGAGAUAAUGCUGUAAUUUACAGCCAAGCAUUAUGGAAGAUGAAUGAUAGUUGCUUUUUAGACUUAAUACACAUUAGCCUUUAACAGAUAAUAGCCUACUGGUAAGAGGAAAACAAAGAAAUACCUUCAAAAGGAAUUUGUUUUUUGGUCAUAUUCUUCCCCUGAUGUUCUAAAUGUUAUAUAAUUCCUAUUCUUUCAUAAGAUUCAAAGUUGCUACUGAUCAAAGUACACUGAUCAAUCUUCUUUUCAAAGGUACCUUGCUUUUAUUUUUCAUAUUCAUGGUUAAAGUAUGGUGGAGAAUAGACAGUAAAGCAAUGCUUUUCCCAUUUCUAUGACUGUUUGUGAUUCUCCUGAGUGUAUACAUGUGUGACACUGGCUGUAAAGAAACACUGUGGAUAUAAUUUGAAACACACACGAACACACACACACAGGUCAACAGCAGAUCCACAACAGUGGUUUCAGGGCCACUGACAGUCACUCAAUUAGCUAACCAUUUUUAGAUUGGUAAGUUACUUUAGCCAGUUAUCUAAACUUGUAGUAGUCAUGGCCGAAUAGGGACCGGGCACGCAAGGCACGUGCCCAGGGGCCCUGACCUCCAAGGGGCCACCAUUGAUUUUGUUAGUCACUUUCACUCAGGUAUCAUUAACAUGGCAAAAUGUGUAUAAUUGUAGGAAAUUUGCUUUAAAUCUGCUAAGAUUUCUCUUCACCCCAUGGCAAAAUGGGUAGAACUGCAGAAAACUUGCUUUAAAACUGCA
rnacentral:lncRNA from 1 species